CUUGCAUUUCUGUCUAUCAUGC
rnacentral:snRNA from 1 species